AUUUUCUAAGAAUUUCAAAUUGAAAUCAAUCAUAAUUUUCUUAAUUGUUAUUGAUUAAUUUUCUAAUUUUUUUUUGUUCUUUUUCACCUUUAAUAUAAAUUUUUAACCAUCUCAACAUCUUGAUUAUCAAGAAAAUUAGUGGAAAAUACUGGAAAUUUUAUAUUUAUAUUAACAUUCUCACAGUUUGGCUUCGGGUCUCUCUCAACAAAACCAUUUCCAAGGAGGAGGGAAAACAAAAUCAACAUAUUGAACCAACUAGAAGCGGAAAUAAUAACAAUCAUCACCAUCAAUAAAUUCAAUGAUAAUCAAGUUAAUCAGUUGCUGACUUUUUUGGCUACCAAAGAAACUGUGUUAAUAAUUACACUCCAUGGAUCAAGAUGAAGAUUUAGAUUAGUGUUAAAGACCUUUCACUUACUUGGUUAAUUUGUUUACAUAACAAUUAGAUUGUUGCUGUUAAAUAUAAUUUCCUUCAUCAUCAUCAAGUAGUUUAAAGUGUUGGUUAGUUGAUUGUUAAUGAUUAACUUGCUAAAAAGCUUCAGAUUUUCAACCCAUGGCCUCAAAAAACACAAAUUAUUACUAAUUGUCUAAUUACUGGAAUACAAAACACACACUGGAAAAAGAUGGUUACUUGCCAAUCUAUUUAAUCAUGAUAAUUCACUCCUAUUAUUAUUGUUAAUAACUAAUUAGAAUGUUGUUGUUUUGAUAAUCACAGUUAAUACACUUGUUUAAUCAUUACAAUUAACAUUACAAUAGGGAUUGUAGUUAACAAUAAUAUCUUCAUGAUAACCAGAUAACUUUAAUAUUAUUAAUAUUACAGUUUUA